UACAGAGGUCUCAAGCGUUGUUCGGAUUCAUUGGGCGUAAAGGGUGUGUAGGUGGCGCGCUAAGUCGGGUGUGAAAUUUCGGAGCUUAACUCCGAAACUGCAUUCGAUACUGGCGUGCUUUGAGGACUGGAGAGGAGACUGGAAUUCAUGGUGUAGCAGUGAAAUGCGUAGAGAUCAUGAGGAAGACCAGUGGCGAAGGCGGGUCUCUGGGCCGUAACUGAGCUGAGGAGCGAAAGCGUGGGGA
rnacentral:rRNA from 1 species